rnacentral:siRNA from 1 species
AGGGUCGACAAAAAGUCAAUGGAA